rnacentral:rRNA from 1 species
UACGUAGGGUGCAAGCGUUAAUCGGAAUUACUGGGCGUAAAGCGUGCGCAGGCGGUUGUGUAAGACAGAUGUGAAAUCCCCGGGCUCAACCUGGGAACUGCAUUUGUGACUGCACGGCUGGAGUGCGGCAGAGGGGGAUGGAAUUCCGCGUGUAGCAGUGAAAUGCGUAGAUAUCAGGAGGAACACCGAUGGCGAAGGCAGGUCUCUGGGCUGACACUGACGCUCAUGCACGAAAGCGUGGGGAGCAAACAGG